CGUCAUCAGCCCAGCGACGGAAGCCAAACCCUGAAAAAACCACCGCAGAAAAGCUGGAGGAUGGUAGAGACUGGAGAAGGGUUCCACAAAUGCCGAAUUGAGGAGAGAACUAUCAGAUCCAGUACUCUAAACCUGAAAGUGGACAUGCAUUGUUAAGGUAACUUGUAGUUGGUGCAGCUUUGCUUUCCUUCUGCUUGUCUGAUUGUGAGUGAAAAUCCAGAGGAAGAUAGAUGCCGGCUAAGGUCUUGGCAAUGCAAACACAUGUGAGUAUGUAAUUCUUCUUCAACUGAAAUUGGACCUCAGUUGCCAGCAGAUGGGAAGAUUUCUCUUCUUGGUAUAAAUAUUUCAAGUGUACUCAGGAAUUAUUCAAGGAUCUUAGCUUAAGUUUAUAUAGGACUCU
rnacentral:lncRNA from 1 species